rnacentral:rRNA from 1 species
UACGGAGGGUGCAAGCGUUAUCCGGAUUCACUGGGUUUAAAGGGUGCGUAGGCGGGUUGGUAAGUCCGUGGUGAAAUCUCCGAGCUUAACUCGGAAACUGCCGUGGAUACUAUCAAUCUUGAAUAUCGUGGAGGUAAGCGGAAUAUGUCAUGUAGCGGUGAAAAUGCUUAGAGAUGACAUAGAACACCAUGUCGUAGCAGCUUACUACACGAUCAUUGACGCUGAUGCACGAAAGCGUGGGGAGCAAACAGG